UGUGGGAGCUGGCUUGCCUGCGAUAGCGGUGUACCGGAUACACCGAGUCGCCUGGAUCGCAGGCAAGCCAGCUCCCACA
rnacentral:misc_RNA from 1 species